UGGGGAAUAUUGGACAAUGGGCGAAAGCCUGAUCCAGCAAUGCCGCGUGAGUGAUGAAGGCCCUAGGGUUGUAAAGCUCUUUUACCAGGGAUGAUAAUGACAGUACCUGGAGAAUAAGCUCCGGCUAACUCCGUGCCAGCAGCCGCGGUAAUACGGAGGGAGCUAGCGUUGUUCGGAAUUACUGGGCGUAAAGCGUACGUAGGCGGUUAUUCAAGUCAGAGGUGAAAGCCCGGGGCUCAACCCCGGAACGGCCUUUGAAACUAGGUAGCUAGAAUCUUGGAGAGGUCAGUGGAAUUCCGAGUGUAGAGGUGAAAUUCGUAGAUAUUCGGAAGAACACCAGUGGCGAAGGCGACUGACUGGACAAGUAUUGACGCUGAGGUACGAAAGCGUGGGGAGCAAACAGGAUUAGAUACCCAAGUAGUCCCUGAGCGGGCUGGCAAGGCGCAU
rnacentral:rRNA from 1 species